AGUGAACGCUAGCUACAGGCUUAACACAUGCAAGUCGAGGGGUAACGAGAGGGAAGCUUGCUUUCCUUGUCGACGACCGGCGCACGGGUGAGUAACGCGUAUCCAACCUGCCCCCAACUAAGGAAUAACCUUGCGAAAGUAAGACUAAUACCUUAUAAUUUCCUCAGAUGACAUCUGACGAGGAAUAAAGAUUUAUCGGUUGUGGAUGGGGAUGCGUCUGAUUAGCUUGCUGGCGGGGUAACGGCCCACCAAGGCAACGAUCAGUAGGGGUUCUGAGAGUAAAGUCCCACACAUUGAGACUGAGACACGGUCCAAACUCCUACGGGAUGCAGCAGUGAGGAAUAUUAGUCAAUGGGCUGAAGCCUGAACCAGCCAAGUAGCGUGCAGGAUUACGGCCCUAUUGGUUGUAAACUGCUUUUAUACAGGAAUAAAGUUAGCCACGUUUGGUUAUUUGUAGGUACUGUAUGAAUAAGGACCGGCUAAUUCCGUGCCAGCCGCCGCGGUAA
rnacentral:rRNA from 1 species